rnacentral:rRNA from 1 species
UACAGGGGGGGGCAAGCGUUGUUCGGAAUUACUGGGCGGUAAAGGGCGCGUAGGCGGCCUGUUAAGUCGAACGUGAAAUCCCCGGGCUUAACUUGGGAAUUGGCGCUCGAAACUACGUGGCUAGAGUGUGGCAGAGGAAGGUGGAAUUCCACGUGUAGCGGUGAAAUGCGUAGAGAUGUGGAGGAACACCGAUGGCGAAGGCAGCCUCCUGGGCCAAUACUGACGCUCAUGCACGAAAGCGUGGGGAGCAAACAGG